UUUCCGACAAUAGCUGCUACAUGU
rnacentral:siRNA from 1 species